UACGGAGGAUGCAAGCGUUAUCCGGAAUGAUUGGGCGUAAAGCGUCCGCAGGUGGCAAUGUAAGUCUGCUGUCAAAGCGUCUGGCUCAACCAGAUAAAGGCAGUGGAAACUACAUAGCUAGAGUAAGGUAGGGGUAGAGGGAAUUCCUGGUGUAGCGGUGAAAUGCGUAGAGAUCAGGAAGAACACCGGUGGCGAAAGCGCUCUGCUGGACCUUAACUGACACUGAGGGACGAAAGUUAGGGGAGCGAAUGGG
rnacentral:rRNA from 1 species